rnacentral:rRNA from 1 species
UACGUAGGGUGCGAGCGUUGUCCGGAAUUAUUGGGCGUAAAGAGCUCGUAGGCGGUCUGUCGCGUCGAUCGUGAAAACUUGGGGCUUAACCCUGAGCUUGCGGUCGAUACGGGCAUGACUGGAGUUCGGCAGGGGAGACUGGAAUUCCUGGUGUAGCGGUGAAAUGCGCAGAUAUCAGGAGGAACACCGGUGGCGAAGGCGGGUCUCGUGGGCCGAUACUGACGCUGAGGCACGAAAGCGUGGGUAGCAAACAGG